GACAUUGAAAGAUCGGAGUAAAGAAGACAACAUGAAUAUGUGAUGCUCGUUUAUCUAUUAAAUUAAAUUUUAUUUUAAUUUUAUUUCAAAUUAAUUUUUAAAAAAACUAAUUUGAAAAUUAGUAUGAAAAAAAAGGAUAAUAGAGUAGGUGUCCAAAUCAAAACACAUAAAUAUAGGACAAAAACAGGGAGAGAGGCUCUUUGUUUUUUUAACUGUAUUGGUUUAUAGUGUUUUAUAAAUAUUUUAGAUAAAAAAUAGGUUAAAAGGAAGUUUUUAAAUAAAAAAUCAAGCUUUAUUAUUUUAUAUAAUUCAAAUAAAAUCAAUUUAUUUAAUUGUUUAGAAUUAUAACUCAAGUUAUUUAACGACUUUUUAAAUUAUUUCUGUUACUUUCCCUCAAUUUUCUAGACAAGCAAAAGGAGCUAAACUUAUUCCCGACCAAAACGUCAAGAAUUUCAGUAGAACAAAAGAAGAGAUUAUUACUUGACCAAAAACAACCAGUCAUCACCCAAAGAAACCGAGUCAAUGAGAGAAAAAGACUGAUAGCUAGAAAACAAUCAACAGAUCCAAGAAUUUUCUGUAUGGUUUCCAAGAAAAUGAAACGAAACAAAGAUAGACAAAGAUAGUUCGAGGAAGUGGGCAGCCUUUUUUCUGCUGUUAACGCAGACUAAGAACUCCUACCAUCGUAAAAUCAUAUAAUUAAAACACAACAAUAAAAAAGUAAUGAGCAGCUAACUAUGUGCGAAAACCAGAGAAAUAAGGAUACAAAACGUGAGAGUGAGUCAUUGUUGUAAGUAAAAGAGGCGCAGAGAGAAUGGGAAUUGGAAUUUCAUACCUUAACUUGAGAAAAUAUGUGCGAAAAGCAGUGGUACUGAUUGCUCAAUGAAAAGGAGAAGGCCUUUAGCUCUGUAUGGAAUCCAGCUUCAACAGCAACAAGGCAAGGUCUAAGCAUUUUGAUGACAUAAUUAAGAUAAUAUGCGUAGUAAUAUAGAGACAGUGACAAAGAAAUGAAGAAAAAAAAUGCGUACGAGUACUCACCUAGCAAAGAAAGAAACGGAUGAAAGGUUCAGGAUAAUCACUUAGACGUUUCCAUGGAUGAUACCAGCUUGCUUCCAACAACAAAUAUAAUUAACCUAAGCUAUGAUCGGUCAAUGUUUUUUUUAGUUUUCUUCUUUUUCAGAAAAAAAAAAAAAAAAAAACAGAUCAUCAAGGGAAAAGACUUGCAAAGAAGUAGAAUUAAUGGAACGAACACAACAAGGAAUCAAACUCAAGCAAUUAAAAGUAAUUGUCUAUGAGUACCAUCUGUGUCACACGCUCAAGUGAGGAGAGAAAACAAGGAAAAAGAAAGGAAAGGGACAAGGAAGGCAGAAAGUAAGGUCACGUAGGGCUAGUCUUGUAGAAAGUGGGAGAGAGAGAGAGAGAGGUUAAAAAGGCUUAAAAAGAAAAGAAAAGGAAAGACAGAAAUAAAGGAAAGGACGUGGAAAUAGAAGGAGAGGUUGAGGGAGGCAGAAACGGAAGGAGACAUUGAAAGAUCGGAAGAGAGCAAAGAAAACAACAUGUUUGAGUGGGAUUUUUUUGUGCCUUUGAUAAAAAUACUCUGUUUUUUUUUCUCUUUGAUUGGGAUUUUUUUGUGUCUCUUUUAUUUGGAAUUUCUUUGGACACUUUAAUAAUAUAAUAACAAAAAAUAAUUUGAUUAAAUUAUUGUUCAUUCAAACACAGAUUUACUGUGGACUCCAAUAGUAUUUUUCACUAUAUUUUGAAUUUUAGUUUUUGAUAGCCAUGCUCGUUUGAUUUUUUUUUUUUUUUUUCAUACUCUUCCAAAUAAUGCAAGAAAUGAGGACCUGAAAUAACAGCAGCGAAUAAGGAGAGAGAUAACGUGUUUGUUCUUGUUUCUUAGAAAGUAUUUUAAAAAAUAUUAAAUUAAAUUUUAUUUUAUUUUUAUUUCAAAUUAAUUUUUAAAAAAACUAAUUUGAAAAUUAAUAUGAAAAAAGAGGAUAAUAGAGUAGUUGUCCCAAUCAAAACACAUAAAUAUAGGACAAAAACAGGGAUAAUAGAGUGCUCUUUGUUUUCUUAACUGUAUUGGUUUAAUAAGGUUUAUAGAGUGUUGUAUAAAUAUUUUAGAUAAAAAAAAGGUUAAAAGCAAGUUUUUAAAUAAAAA
rnacentral:lncRNA from 1 species